ACCAAGGAGUCUAACAUGUGCGCGAGCCGCGGGGCAGUACGAAACCCGUAAGGCGAAAUGAAGGUGAACGCCGGCGCGGUCCGGCGGAGGUUGGAUCCCGUCCCGUCGGGGCGUGCGCACUACCGGCCGAUCUUCUCCGCCCUGUCGGCGAGGUCGAGCGAGAGCGUGCAAGUCGGGACCCGAAAGAUGGUGAACUAUGCCUGAGGAGGUUGAAGCCAGAGGAAACUCUGGUGGAGGACCGUAGCGAUUCUGACGUGCAAAUCGAUCGUCAAAUUUGGGUAUAGGGGCGAAAGACUAAUCGAACCGUCUAGUAGCUGGUUCCCUUCGAAGUUUCCCUCAGGAUAGCUGGCGCUCUGUCGCAGUUUUAUCUGGUAAAGCGAAUGAUUAGAGGUCUUGGGGGCGAAACGCCCUCAACCUAUUCUCAAACUUUAAAUUGGUAAGAAGCCCGACUCGCUCGUUUGGAGCCGGGCAUGGAAUGCGAGUGCCAAGUGGGCCACUCUUGGUAAGCAGGACUGGCGAUGCGGGAUGAACCGAACGCCGGGUUAAGGCGCCCGACGCGACGCUCAUCAGAGCCCACAAAAGGUGUUGGUUGAUAUAGACAGCAGGACGGUGGCCAUGGAAGUCGGAAACCGCUAAGGAGUGUGUAACAACUCACCUGCCGAAUCAAUCAGCCCUGAAAAUGGAUGGCGCUGGAGCGUCGGGCCUAUACCCGGCCGUCGCGGCGGUACGAGCAUCGAGUUGGUGCGCUAGGCCGCGACCAGUAGGAGGGCCGCGGCGGCGGGCGU
rnacentral:ncRNA from 1 species